CCUACGGGAGGCAGCAGUGGGGAAUAUUGGACAAUGGGCGCAAGCCUGAUCCAGCAAUGCCGCGUGAGUGAUGAAGGCCUUAGGGUCGUAAAGCUCUUUUACCAGGGAUGAUAAUGACAGUACCUGGAGAAUAAGCUCCGGCUAACUCCGUGCCAGCAGCCGCGGUAAUACGGAGGGAGCUAGCGUUGUUCGGAAUUACUGGGCGUAAAGCGUACGUAGGCGGUUAUUCAAGUCAGAGGUGAAAGCCCGGGGCUCAACCCCGGAACGGCCUUUGAAACUAGGUAGCUAGAAUCUUGGAGAGGUCAGUGGAAUUCCGAGUGUAGAGGUGAAAUUCGUAGAUAUUCGGAAGAACACCAGUGGCGAAGGCGACUGACUGGACAAGUAUUGACGCUGAGGUACGAAAGCGUGGGGAGCAAACAGGAUUAGAUACCCUGGUAGUCCACGCCGUAAACGAUGAUAACUAGCUGUUCGGGCACUUGGUGCUUGAGUGGCGCAGCUACGCAUUAAGUUAUCCGUCCGUCGGGUAGGUACGGUCGCGAGAAUUAAACGUUAAACGGUAAGUUAGUACGGCGUGAGACGUGCCGACGGACGACGACGAGGGAGUAGG
rnacentral:rRNA from 1 species